UACUACGGCCAUGCCACCCUGAACGUACCCGAUCUUGUCUGAUCUCGGAAGCUAAGCAGGGCUGUGCCUGGUGAGUCCUUGGAUGGGAGACCACCUAGGAAUACGAGGUGCUGUAGGUG
rnacentral:rRNA from 1 species